rnacentral:rRNA from 1 species
GAAUUCGCCCUUAGUUUGAUCCUGGCUCAGGACGAACGCUGGCGGCGCGCCUAACACAUGCAAGUCGAACGAGAGAUGAGGAGCUUGCUCUUCAAAUCGAGUGGCGAACGGGUGAGUAACGCGUGAGGAACCUGCCUCAAAGAGGGGGACAACAGUUGGAAACGACUGCUAAUACCGCAUAAGCCCACAGCUCGGCAUCGAGCAGAGGGAAAAGGAGCAAUCCGCUUUGAGAUGGCCUCGCGUCCGAUUAGCUAGUUGGUGAGGUAACGGCCCACCAAGGCGACGAUCGGUAGCCGGACUGAGAGGUUGAACGGCCACAUUGGGACUGAGACACGGCCCAGACUCCUACGGGAGGCAGCAGUGGGGAAUAUUGCACAAUGGGGGAAACCCUGAUGCAGCGACGCCGCGUGGAGGAAGAAGGUCUUCGGAUUGUAAACUCCUGUUGUUGAGGAAGAUAAUGACGGUACUCAACAAGGAAGUGACGGCUAACUACGUGCCAGCAGCCGCGGUAAAACGUAGGUCACAAGCGUUGUCCGGAAUUACUGGGUGUAAAGGGAGCGCAGGCGGGAGAACAAGUUGGAAGUGAAAUCCAUGGGCUCAACCCAUGAACUGCUUUCAAAACUGUUUUUCUUGAGUAGUGCAGAGGUAGGCGGAAUUCCCGGUGUAGCGGUGGAAUGCGUAGAUAUCGGGAGGAACACCAGUGGCGAAGGCGGCCUACUGGGCACCAACUGACGCCGAGGCUCGAAAGUGUGGGUAGCAAACAGGAUUAGAUACCCUGGUAGUCCACACCGUAAACGAUGAUUACUAGGUGUUGGAGGAUUGACCCCUUCAGUGCCGCAGUUAACACAAUAAGUAAUCCACCUGGGGAGUACGACCGCAAGAAUGAAACUCAAAGGAAUUGACGGGGGCCCGCACAAGCGGUGGAGCAUGUGGUUUAAUUCGAAGCAACGCGAAGAACCUUACCAGGUCUUGACAUACUCAUAAAGGCUCCAGAGAUGGAGAGAUAGCUAUAUGAGAUACAGGUGGUGCAUGGUUGUCGUCAGCUCGUGUCGUGAGAUGUUGGGUUAAGUCCCGCAACGAGCGCAACCCUUAUCGUUAGUUACCACCAUUAAGUUGGGGACUCUAGCGAGACUGCCAGUGACAAGCUGGAGGAAGGCGGGGAUGACGUCAAAUCAUCAUGCCCCUUAUGACCUGGGCUACACACGUGCUACAAUGGAUGGUGCAGAGGGAAGCGAAGCCGCGAGGUGAAGCAAAACCCAUAAAACCAUUCUCAGUUCGGAUUGUAGUCUGCAACUCGACUACAUGAAGUUGGAAUCGCUAGUAAUCGCGAAUCAGCAUGUCGCGGUGAAUACGAUCUCGGGCCUUGCACACACCGCCCGUCA